GCCGCCAGUCGGCGAGCAGGCAGCUGCCGGUACUCCUCUGAGAGGAGCGGCGCCGGGGGGCAGCGGUGCGAAACCCGCCGACCCGGCCCGACUUCGCCUGCGACUUCCCGGAACGGUAAGCCCCGGGCCCUAGCGCUGUUGGCCCAGCUCGGGGCCGAAAGCUGCUGCGCCGCGACCCCUCCCUCAGGCUCGCUCAGGCGGCUGGGGCGCUGAGGUGUGACACGGCACGCCUCAGGGUUGUUUGCGGGCGAAAAGCCCGAACCCGCCCUGACACUACGAGCCUUCCUGCCCCGCCGCCCUCGAAGACCUGCCCUCCCGGAGCGCCGGAGUCCUCAGCGGCGCCGAGGGCCCCUCCCCUGGGCUUGCGGGCUCUGAGGAAACUCUCCUGCUCUUAGACUGAAAACCUGGCUGCUCUGUGUCUAGACUGUAGAAGUUCCGGAGAUGAACAGUGCUGACGGUUGCACAACAAUGUGAAGGUGUGGCCUAGGGACCAAGCCUCGAUCUCCCUGACACACGGGUUACCUGACAGCAGGACAGAGGGGUGACCGCCCUCCUGAAGAGGCAGGAGGAGGCCAGGACAUCCCGCCACCCGACGCCGGUCCUGCACAUGACAGUUUUCUGCCGUCAGCUCUGACCCAUGUCCUUUCACAAGGAAAAGGUGAUAAUGGGGGAGGAAACCGAGGCAGAGAAGCUCUCAUGCCUCACAGAAGGUGACUCUCUUGGGUGAGAGAACUACACAGUAGGGAGCAGUGUGACCUUGGAAUGACCUCCCCUCUCUGAGCCUCGGUUUCCUUAUUAGUAAACUGGAGACGUGAACUCCCACCUCACAGACCCGCUGUUUGGUAGAGAAAGGGGCGACUCCGAGUCCAAAGCCUUGUCCAUCAGGCUCGCCCACUAGGUGGCCGUCAGCGUCUACGAGCCCUGCCUGGACAGAGGCCAGUCACAGGUCUGCAGGCCCUUCGGAAUCACGUGCCCAGCUUCUGUGUUACCACCCAGCACGAGCCAGUCGGCUACAGUGAACUGUCAGCUCUUCAAGACAGAUUUGUGUUUCUGUUGAUCCACUGACGUGUCCCAAGUGCUUCAAAAAGUGCCCGGCACAUAACACAAGGAGAAAGCGGCCAUCUACAGUUUUCACCAGGAACCAUUCCUGCUGGACCUUGAUCUGGGACUUCCAGCCUCGAGGGUGAGAAACAGAUGUCUGCAUAGUGUGAGCGCCCCAGUCCAUAGUUCUUUGAGAUAGCAUAUGCUUGUCCAUAGUCCCAGUCCAUAGUAUUUUGUUCUAGCAGCCUGACCCGACUGAGGGCCAGAGAAGACACACGAAAGCAGGCACAAGCCUGGGAGGCAAGGGGAAGGAGAGAAGAGGGAGAGGCCGCCAAAUGUACCUAAAGAGGAGCUGGGGAGAAAGCAGAGGCGAGAUGGCUGGGGCAGGGCAGAGGCCUGGGGCCAGGGCUUUGCUUAUGGGGGACACACAGUUAAUAAUCACACACCUACCUUCAGGCCCAACGCGAAAGCCUGGGAACACAGGAUGACAAGACACAGCCCCUGCUCCUCAAUCAGGGAGACUGAAGGAAAGGGAAGACCUCACAGGACAGGCCCUCCACCUGGGGCUUCAAGGCGAUGAAGGAUUCUGCCAGCUGGUUCAGGGAUGGGGGGACACGAGAGAGUGCCCCCAGUAGAGGCCAAAGCUUAGGCAAAGCCUCUGAGGAGGGGGCAGAAUGGCAUGGGGGACAGGAGAGGGCACUGGGCUUGACUGUGCCUUUCCAGGUGUGUCUGAGGUCACUGUGAAAAGGCUGCAGGUAAGUCCAUGCCGCGGGGAGGGAGCAAUUCCAUUACCAGCAGCAGCAGACAGGCCAGUCCUGUCCCUCCUCCCUGCACCGCAGCCACCCCUCACCUAACGAGUCCUUGAGGGCGUGGGUGAGCUUGCACUGCCGGAAGGGGAUGUGGUCUCGCUUCUGGUCCCCGAGGGCAAUGAUGGCCUGCUCCAGGAAUGACAGCGAUUUGUUGAUGUAGGUGGCUUCCUUCAGGACUCGGCCCUCAGACUACAAACCAAAGGUCAGUUCUGCUUCAGGCCAAGUGGAGAGGCUGCCCCACAAACACGCUGCAGGUCUGCGGCCAGGCCAGAGCCUCCUGCCCAGAAGCAGGGUCUUCUCUUCCUGUCUUGUACUCCACGUUGGGCUAAUAGGAACACUCCCAGGAACGCUGAUGCAGAUAUUCAUGAGUGAAUGCUCAUAUGAAUGUGAAUACUUGUGUGAAUAUUCAUAUGAAUACUCCCUUAAGAGUCACACUGUUAUGAACAUACAGGGGAAUAUUUGUGCAGAUAUUUGAGCAAAUAAUCCUGGGAAUAUACAAACAUUCAUUCAACACACAAAUACAAACAUUCAUCUGAAUGCUCUUCUGAAUGCUCUUAUGAAUACUUAUGCUAAUACUCAUAUGAAUAUGUAUGUGAGAUGAAAAAUUCAUGCAAAUAUUCAUCAUAUGAACACUCAUGCACAGAGAAAUGCUAAUAAGAGCAUGGAGCACUGACUGAGCACUGCCUGCCAGGCACUUUGCUGAGAAUUUAGGAGCCAUCAUCUCAUUUAGCGUUUACAACAGUCCUGCCAGGUAGGAACUGCCUCUCUGAUGCAGCUGUUUCACUGCUGCUGUUCAGUUCACACUGAACUGCGCCUAGCUAGGAACGGUGCUCACGAAUGCCCAACGAGGGACAGUCCACGCACACAGACACUAAACUGGAAACAGGGCCAUGGCUUGUUGAGGAGGAACUUCCUGCUCCCCCACUUACCCUAGACUUCCCCAGCCUCUCCGAGCCUGCUAGAUCCACCAGGUUAAUUUUGGAAGUGAUGUACUUUUCAUCUGAUAAGGUCCGUGAACGGGCCUGUGAAACACCCAAAACAGAGGUUAGGUUGUCACAGUGAGAAGCUUCUUACAGAAUAGGCUCUGUGGGAAUCGACCUCCCUUCCCAAGCUACUCAAAGAGCUUGUACUUACCUCCACAUAGAUGGUGAAAAUGCAGUGUGACCUGGAUGAGUUCUUGUUCAUUGUGUGGGAGGCUAUAAUCCUGUUAGUCUCUCCCUGAAGAAGACAGAAAACAUGUAGACAUUUUGACAUAUUGAAAUAACAAGGCAUUUGAAUCAUUUUUUAACUAUACAGAAAUGAUCUUUACAUCACAGCCCUCAGGCAGGCCUUCCAGGGAAAUCUGAUUUAUAAACUAGUAGAACAGAAGACAAAUUGGAGUCCAGACCUAUACUUUCACUCACUGCUAGCAACAUGUGAAUCUGUAUAAUAGCAUUCUGAAAAGCAAAGUGGCAACAAAAAUUAUGAGCCUAAAAAAUGUUCAUGGAUAUUGAGUCAUAACCAACCUACAUAUCCAACAAUUCAGGAAUGAUCUAUCUGGAGAACAAUGUUACGUGACCAGAAGAAUACUGGCAAAUAGCUUUUAAUAACAAUAAUGCAGAAUCCAAAAACUGGAACAAACUGCCUUCAACAGCACGAUGAAAGGACUAUCCACCACAGCCAAAUGGAGUUUACCCUGGACGCAAGGAUGGUCUGACAUACACAAAUCAAUCAGUGUGAUACACCUCAUUAACAAAAUGAAGGGUAAAAUCAUACGCUGGUACAGUCUGAGGAAUGCAGAAGCAUUCAUAGAAGAAAGAAUAAACAGAUGGUGCUACCAAGAUGUUAAUAAUGGUCACUUCCAGGUUGGAGUUUAUAGGUGGAUCUUUUAUAUAUACAGGUUAUGCUUCCAUAUUUUUAAAGUGAACAUGAAUUACAUUUAAACAUUAGGAAAAAAUCAGUAAUUUGUUUCUUUAAAGAGACAGCCCUUGCCUCUAAUUCACAGGACUGGCACUGUGACCAGAAUAUACUUAAAAGGAGACAUGGUAGAGAUGGUUGUACUUAGAGAAAAAGAUUCAUACGGAGGGACUCUUGUCUCCUUAAAGGACCCUGAGAAGUGCUAUGAAGGAACCCCACAUCAGUGGUACUGCCUUCCCCUGCGGAGAGUGGAGCACCUGAAGAGGAGGGGAGGCCCUGCACUGGGGAGGACGCCCGGCUGGCUCCCAGGCUACAUCCCCAAGGUCUCACUGUCACAUUCAACUAACCUAAAGUUAUUUGUUCAUCAAAUUGACAUAUCAAGAAAAAAAGACAAGUCACAGGAGAUAGAAAACAGUUGUAAUACAUACAACUGAGAAAAGAACUAGUUUUCAGAAUUUAUAAUUUAUACAAAUGAGAAAAAAAAAAAGACAUCUGUAAAGAUAAUAA